rnacentral:tRNA from 1 species
GCCUGGCUGGCUCAGUUGGGAGAACAUGUGAUUCUUGAUCCUGGGGUUGUGGGUUCAAGUCCCAUGUUGGGUG